AAAUCAGGUAGGAGUACCCGCUGAACUUAAGCAUAUCAAUAAGCGGAGGAAAAGAAACCAACCGGGAUUGCCUUAGUAACGGCGAGUGAAGCGGCAAAAGCUCAAAUUUGAAAUCUGGUACCUUCGGUGCCCGAGUUGUAAUUUGGAGAGGGCAACUUUGGGGCCGUUCCUUGUCUAUGUUCCUUGGAACAGGACGUCAUAGAGGGUGAGAAUCCCGUGUGGCGAGGAGUGCGGUUCUUUGUAAAGUGCCUUCGAAGAGUCGAGUUGUUUGGGAAUGCAGCUCUAAGUGGGUGGUAAAUUCCAUCUAAAGCUAAAUAUUGGCGAGAGACCGAUAGCGAACAAGUACAGUGAUGGAAAGAUGAAAAGAACUUU
rnacentral:rRNA from 1 species